rnacentral:rRNA from 1 species
GACGAACCGUGCGAACGUUAUUCGGAAUUAUUGGGCGUAAAGCGCACGUAGGUGGUCUGUUAUGUCAGAUGUGAAAGCCCUCGGCUUAACUGAGGAAGUGCACCUGAAACUGGCAGGCUUGAGUACGAAAGAGGGUCGCGGAAUUCCCGGUGUAGAGGUGAAAUUCGUAGAUAUCGGGAGGAACACCGGUGGCGAAGGCGGCGACCUGGUUCGAUACUGACACUGAGGUGCGAAAGCGUGGGGAGCAAACGGG